GGGGUCAAUGGGCGAUCAGCGAGGCCUAUGGCCUAGGCUGGUGACCUCCAUUGCACUUACCGGAGGGGUGCCCGCCUAAGGUCUGCCCAAAGUGGCAGAGCCUACGUCAUAAUUUGUGGUAGUGGGGGCCUGCGUUCGCGCGGCCCCUUCCCAAUUCCUUAGUUUGUAAAUGUCUUCCUCUUGUUUCCAGAUUGUGAUGGAUGACAGAAGAAAUUCUCCAUAAUGAACCCUCAAAUGGAAAGCAAGUUCUUAUAUCUUCAAUAAUGUUAUGUCUCAAGUUCAUGUUUAUUUCCUGUCUGACCUUAUGAGGUGCUUACCCAUGUUUACUUCCAGCCUUCCGUUUAAAGAUGGUUUUUCUCUAGCCUUUCAUUUUGUCUGAUGUAUUUUCUUGUUCGUUGGACUAGAGUGCCUUUAUUGGAUGUUUUGAGAGUGGUGUUUGUGAAAGAAAUCAUGUACUACUCUGUUGAAAUCUUUUAAAAGCAAAAAUCAAAAGCAUUUCCAAA